ACACAGCGAAAGUUCCAUGCGCCCACUGUCUACCAUAUUCUUAGCGCUCCCACUGCCCUGUUCGAUAGCGUGACCAGCUCUUGCAUAACAUGAAUAACACAGGGACAAGCACUGAACGGUGUUGCUCAACCACCUGCUUUGAUCUGGAAUGUAUCCUAAAAGGGUUGGAUUCACUAUCUGAUUGCAUGGAUCAACUGGCACUCCAAACCCAGCUUAGGCAGUGUGAUCUGAUCCUUUGUGUCGGCCACCCUGACAAGCUGGAACACCUGAAAAUCAGGGAGGCACCUCAGCAGGCGCCGCAAGCUUCUCCUGGAAACCAUAGAGAGGCAAAGGAAGAUGUGCAUGUGUGUGUUUCUUCUUCAUACCAGUUAGGAGGCCAACCUUGAAGCUACCAAACCAAGACACCAAAAGCACAACAUCGACUUAUCGGUAUGGCAAGCCAGGUAUUCUAUUUGGGUUUGAAACUGGUCUCUGUUGUAGGUUUCUUUUGACAACGCCACCCUCUGCUGUUCGUUUUUUGAAAGACAUGGGUGAAAACGAGUUGCGUUGUGAUUUACCUGUGCACUUUUUUUUGUUUUUUAUUUUUUUAGUAAAUUCCCCUCUUUGUUUUGCAGCAUGAUCCCCAUGCUCAUUUUUGUGCUUUGUCACAUCCUAUGCGUGUAAAUGAGUGUUUAAUCUCAAACAAAACCUCUGCAUGUAGAAAACAAUAAAGCAGUUAAAU